AGCGGCGGACGGCUGAGUAACGCGUGGGAACGUGCCCCAAAGUGAGGGAUAAGCAUCGGAAACGGUGUCUAAUACCGCAUAUGGUCUUCGGAUUAAAGGAUUUAUCCGCUUUGGGAGCGGCCCGCGUUAGAUUAGGUAGUUGGUAGGGUAAUGGCCUACCAAGCCUACGAUCUAUAACUGGUCUGAGAGGAUGAUCAGUCAGACUGGAACUGAGACACGGUCCAGACUCCUACGGGAGGCAGCAGUGAGGAAUCUUCCACAAUGGGCGAAAGCCUGAUGGAGCAACGCCGCGUGAAGGAUGAAGGCCCUAGGGUCGUAAACUUCUUUUAUAAGUGAAGAAUAUGACGGUAACUUAUGAAUAAGCACCGGCUAACUACGUGCCAGCAGCCGCGGUCAUACGUAGGGUGCAAGCAUUAUCCGGAGUGACUGGGCGUAAAGAGUUGCGUAGGCGGUUAGUAAAGUGAAUAGUGAAACCUGGUGGCUCAACCAUACAGACUAUUAUUCAAACUCACUAACUCGAGAAUGGUAGAGGUAACUGGAAUUUCUUGUGUAGGAGUGAAAUCCGUAGAUAUAAGAAGGAACACCAAUGGCGUAGGCAGGUUACUGGACCAUUUCUGACGCUGAGGCACGAAAGCGUGGGGAGCGAACCGGAUUAGAUACCCGGGUAGUCCACGCCGUAAACGAUGGAUACUAGCUGUUGGAGGUAUCGACCCCUUCAGUAGCGAAGCUAACGCGUUAAGUAUCCCGCCUGUGGAGUACGGUCGCAAGACUAAAACAUAAAGGAAUUGACGGGGACCCGCACAAGCGGUGGAUCAUGUUCUUUAAUUCGAUGAUAAACG
rnacentral:rRNA from 1 species